GGAGGAGUGACACAGGAACCCAGGUACUAUGUAUAUGUGCUGCGAGGCCCUCAAAGACACUGAACUCUCAGCUUGAGGCAGAACUGAAAACAUAUGUGCAGGGGAAUUCUUGCCACAUGGUGCUCUCCAGCCUGCCCUGGGUAUUGCUGGCCUUCAUCUUCUCUGGAUUUGGUGCGGUCCAGAAAGUUACUCAAGUCCAGCGAGCCAUGUCCAGGCAGCUAGGGGAGGCGGUCACCUUGAGCUGUCAGUAUGAAACAAGCUGGAGCCAGUACUAUAUUGUUUGGUAUAAGCAGCUUCCCAGUGGAGAGAUGACUUUCCUUAUUCAUCAGAGUUCUUCUGGCCAAAAUGCAAAGAAUGGCCGCUAUUCUGUAAACUUUCAGGAAAGACAAAAAUUCAUCAGCCUCACCAUUUCAGCCUUACUGGUGGAAGAUUCUGCAAACUACUUCUGUGCUCUCUGGGAACUCACAGUGCUUGAAGUAAUAGGAAAAGCCAAACAAAAACCCCAGAGCUCAAUAAGAGAGAGCCCCCUUGCUGCGGGAGCCACGCUGAAAGGCACACCUGCAGAUGCCAGACAAGAAAUGGUAGUCCUGUGGUUGCUUAAUCUGUGGUCUGGAUCAGGAGAUUUAAUUCUAAAUAAAAUCUCCUGCUAUCUCACUUGGGAACAGAUGUCCAGAGUAACUUUCUACUAAUACAUACUCAGUCUUG